CAAAAGGCCCUUUUCAGGGCCCUUCAUUUUCUCACUUAAAAAGAG
rfam:Sarcophilus harrisii ctg7180002293299, whole genome shotgun sequence.